UCUUUCGCGACUCUACCAUAACUGAAACUAGUGAGUCGGCAGGCUUUUCUUAUAGGAAGUGUAUUGUGUUCCUCCACAAAAAGGGAAGGCAGAGAGCUACUCAUAGGUGGGUCUUGAGGGAUGAUGGGAGGCUUAUUUUGUGACUGGCUAGGUUACGUCGACUUCAGAGCAUGGGGGAAAAUUUUCUUGGGGUUUUGUUUCGGUGGACUGAUUAUAGGCAUUAAGUAGGAUGUGCUGAAGGGUGGAGGUGAUAUGGUGGAUUCCGUUGUAGUCGAAGUGUGUGCUGAUGGGGGAAACAGAGGGGCUGCAAAGGCAUGCAAGUCCAGAUUGUCUUGCGAAUUAAGGUGAUGGGCAGGCUUACUUAGGCUAAGGAAAUUGGGAUGGGCUUUUGGAUGAGCAUCUCUCUUUCUAGGCCCAAGAUGUUUUGGUUAAAUAAAGGGGGGGUUGGGUUAGAGUGGCCCGAUUAAAAAAGAUAGAGUUUUGAGAGCUCUCACCUUGAUGGGCCGGGCAAGUGGGAGGCUUUUAUCUUAGCUUGAUGGGCCUUGAACUCCCUCAUUGUAGAAUAGACCUGUCUCCACUGAGACUUCCAUGGAGAGUUCCGUCUAGACGAAAGGAUUGCUGAGGAUGGGAUGGUUCUUUCAACUAUUUUAUCCGUUGGAGUCUUUUCUAUACUGAGCAUCUUUGAACUUGAUGAUGAGUUAAAAUUAAUUCCACGUACUGAGUUCGGCUAAUUGAAGCUAGAGCUGUUGUCAAUAGUGAAGAAAUUUAGUGUAGUUGGUACUUGAGUUAAUGCCCGAGUUUCACUGUAACUGGCUUGAUGGAGUGACCGAUUCGGAGUGAGUAUGGAGAAUGAGGCACUGAUUUCUGAGGAGGAUUCUAUUGAUGGGAAGAGUUGUUGCAGCUCUGGAGGAGAAGGUUGCACAGAUUUGGGAUGAUUAGAAUUUUUGUGUCUGGACUUGAGGCGUCCAAUAUGUGGAGUCUGGACUUUGCUCACCAUGUGCUUGAUAGAGGGCUUGUUGAGAGGUUGAGUUGGAGUACUCGGCUCUUAGCCAUGGCCCGAACUAUAAUCUCGUGAGGUCGAAGUCUUAGAAGCUACAGAAAAUAUGAGUGUGGCCUAGCCUUCCACAUGUAUAACAAAAAUCGGAUAGUCUUUCAUACUUCAAUGUAAUUUAUGUUAGUAGAUUUCCUUCCCUAGGAAGCAGAAGCCCUUGUUUCAAUGGGCUUGUGACAUUGGUUUCUACUUUUAUGCGGAUGAACUUUUUCCAUGCUACCCCAAAAAUGGGGUCUUCCUCCACCAUGAUCAGAUUGCCUAAAGCUUUCCCAAUAUCAGUUGCAUUUUCUAUUGUCAUGUAGUCAAGUGGCAGAAUUUGCACUUUAAAAGUAGAAUGCAGACUUAUUUUAGCUAGAGUUAGACUUGGGGGCCAAGGUUUUAGAAUCAGUAAGUGGCCAUUAAAGUUCCAUGGACCUUGAUUGUAAAUACGUUGCUUUUCUUGAGGAAUUUGAUUUGAUUUGAUUUUAUGAGA